ensembl:misc_RNA Metazoa_SRP Metazoan signal recognition particle RNA
GCCUGGCGCAGUGGCAUGUGCCUGUAGUCCCCAGCUACUCGGGAGGCUGAGGUGGGAGGAUCGCUUGAGCCCAGGAGUUCUGGGCUGUAGUGCGCUAUGCCGAUCGGGUGUCCACACUAAGUUCGGCAUCAAUAUGGCGACCUCCCAGGAGCGAGGGACCACCAAGUUGCCUAAGGAGGGGUGAACCGGCCCUAGUCAGAAGUGGAGCAGGUCAAAACUCCCAUGCUGAUCAGUAGGGGAUCGCACCUGUGAGUAGCCACUGCACUCCCGCGCCUGGGCAACGUAGCGAGACCCCAUCUCUU